rnacentral:rRNA from 1 species
UCGAACGCGUCUCCGUUGAUGAUUUUAGGUGCUUGCACUUGAAAGAUUUAACAUUGAGACGAGUGGCGAACUGGUGAGUAACACGUGGGUAACCUGCCCUUGAAGUAGGGGAUAACACUUGGAAACAGGUGCUAAUACCGUAUAACAACCAAAACCACCUGGUUUUGGUUUAAAAGACGGCUUCGGCUGUCACUUUAGGAUGGACCCGCGGCGCAUUAGCUUGUUGGUAAGGUAACGGCUUACCAAGGCGAUGAUACGUAGCCGACCUGAGAGGGUAAUCGGCCACAUUGGGACUGAGACACGGCCCAAACUCCUACGGGAGGCAGCAGUAGGGAAUCUUCCACAAUGGACGAAAGUCUGAUGGAGCAACGCCGCGUGAGUGAUGAAGGGUUUCGGCUCGUAAAACUCUGUUGUUGGAGAAGAACAGGUGUCAGAGUAACUGUUGACAUCUUGACGGUAUCCAACCAGAAAGCCACGGCUAACUACGUGCCAGCAGCCGCGGUAGUACGUAGGUGGCAAGCGUUGUCCGGAUUUAUUGGGCGUAAAGCGAGCGCAGGCGGUUUUUUAGGUCUGAUGUGAAAGCCUUCGGCUUAACCGGAGAAGUGCAUCGGAAACCGGGAGACUUGAGUGCAGAAGAGGACAGUGGAACUCCAUGUGUAGCGGUGAAAUGCGUAGAUAUAUGGAAGAACACCAGUGGCGAAGGCGGCUGUCUGGUCUGUAACUGACGCUGAGGCUCGAAAGCAUGGGUAGCGAACAGGAUUAGAUACCCUGGUAGUCCAUGCCGUAAACGAUGAGUGCUAAGUGUUGGUGGGUUUCCGCCCUUCAGUGCUGCAGCUAACGCAUUAAGCACUC